CCACCCUCUCCACCGCCCCUCCCCCAACCAAUCUUGCCCACACCGCAGAUGCCUCCUCCGUCCCAAACGACGAUGACAGGGACGCCGGCGCCCUAACCCGCGUCUCCUUCCACCUCCCCCAGCUCGUCUUCUCGCCGGCCGCUUUGGAGGAGCCUCCUUUCGCGCGCCACCGUGGUCGGGCUGCGGCGACCACCAGAGGUCCACCGCCGGCUGGAGCUCCCUCCUUCUCCACUACGAGGCACCAGCAGAGGGGGACGACUCCUCCUUCCAUCCCUAGCUACGGCGUCCAACCUCUAACGCCGAUUGAUCCCCUCCAAAAGUAGUUGAAGGAAGGGGGCGGGCCAUGGAGAAGCUGCAAGGUGUGGGCCUGAAGCCAUGGAUGGAUGUGUUUGGUAUGAGGAUAGCGGACGGCGAGGAGGCACCGAACCGAGCGGCGGGCAAGGACGAAGUGAAGCUGCGCGCACCGUCGUCCUAUCCUUCCUCCGCCUGCUGUUACUGGAAGCAAGCGCAGUACCAUCUCAACUCAUCCACGAGAAGCUAUUUUUGGCUUACAUGAAGGGAUGCAUGCUCUUCAUCUUGCAGUUUUUUGUUUUGCAGAUCUAAUGGUGCAUGUGUAGACUAUGGGCAUUUUUUUCCAGCAAAUCUAAUGGUGUCACGUGUCGGCGCCUUUGUAGUUUCAUCAGUUCCUGGGCGAUGCUUCAGAAAGGCAAGCCACGACUACAGAAACUGUGCUGUUUGGCCUGAACUGGCAAUGUUUUUGUUCGUGUCAUGAUGUCCCCUUUUUUUGAUUUAAAAAGAAGGGAAUGCAAAGUUUGAAUUCCAAUAGAAAAACAGCUCCAUAGGCCCAUUGCGCUUGUGUGGGUACGUGUUAUAGUGACAUUUCCAUGCAGUGAGUGUAGAAUAGGAAGUGCAUGUGGUUUAACCCACGCAGUUGGUCACACAACUUAGUGAGGCCAAAUAAAGAUUUAUAGACAUUUUUGUAC